GGGGGGGGGGGGGGGCGCGUCCCGGACCACGGUGCGCGCUCUCCGCUACCCCGCUGGGGAGAGACUCCCCCGCUUCUCUGAGCGGUGCUGAGAGCCGCGCGCCUCUGUCCACUCGCUCGCUAAGCCCCUGGGAUUAGGGGGAGAAUCUGCUGUUGGCGAGGUGGGAACAACUGGGGGGCGGGGGCGCCGAGCCGACCGCAGAACCCUUCCCAGCCGGCAGCCUCGCGGGCACCUGUAAGUCUGUCUCCUUGUCCUCAGGUACCCCCAAGCGCGUUUAUGGCUGAGAAGCGUCCCGGGGUGAGGGGCAUUCCUCCCCUGGGACCGCAUAGAGCGAACCCGCUUAAGCGACCCGGGGCGGCCCGCGUCCCGGAGCGCGCUCCUGCGCAGCCGCUGAUGCCCCGUGACAAUCGCUCCAGCGUCCCCCAACCCCCAGCGCUGUGUGCCCGCGCCUCUCCGUCAGGCCUGUUCUAGGGGGCUGGACAGCAGAGGCCACCGCCCGCGGGGAGCAGCCGAUGACCACGCUAAAUAGCUGAGAGACCGUCCCAAGUGCUGCGCAGGGACCUGAAGACAUGCCGCUGCCUGCCUGCGGAAGCAAUCGCUUUAGGUCUGUGGUCAGGAGGGACUCCAGCGCAUGGAUCUGAGUGACAAGGACAAAGAGAGAGGCAGGGUGUUGCAGGUGCAGGGAACUGUAGUGUGAGGACCCUAGGGCUGGCUGGUGAGUGGUCUGUCCAGAGAAGGCCGCUGGGACUGCGACUGGGGCUGGGGCUGGGGUGAGGGCUGAGGUCACAGGUCAGAGGCCCUGGGUCAGGUAGGAUUGGCAGGCAGCCAGGAGAGCAGGGGCGGGGUUUAGCAGGGAUACAGUCUGAUCUGGCUUACCUUUUAAGAGGCUCACCCUGCCCACGUAUGGAGGGGCACACAGAGUGCAGAUUCCAUCCAGCGGCCCCAAACCCUGUCCCCACAGAUGGUCAGGGGGCAUGGCUUCCCAGGUUAAGUCCCAGGCGUGCGGGGCGGGGGGGGUCCUCCAGCUAUAAUGGAGGGGUGCCGUCCGCCCCACUGAGGCUCAGCGCUCUGAGAGCCAAGCCCAGCCAGGUUUGGGUUUAGAGAAGGAGGGGGUUUCAGCUUCCUUGUGGGGGAACUGCACGAAGGUCUGUCCCCACCCCCACCCCAGGAAGCCGGAUUAGCCCCCUGGGGGCUCCUGCGGAAGGAAGGGUUUUGCUCCAGGGGGUGAACCUGGUACACUUGCGAGGGCAGUGCUGACAGCCCACACUGGGCUUUGGGGGACCCCCACCCCGCUUUGGUCCCUGGCCCCAGGCAGUCCCCAUGGCCUCUUCUCCAUCUUUGUGCUCCUUCUGGACUGGCGGUUUCUGCUGAGACUGUUGGGUUUGUUUGCUUUCCCUGCAGAUGCGUGUACUCUGCAUCCUCCAGCCUAGAGCCCUGAGAGCAUUGCCCACGUCCUCGUGGAAGAGCAAGGCGCUGUGCUGGGGGUCCCAGGGCACCCGAGGAAGGGUCUCUGCUCCCCCACCCCAGGGCUGGAUGUGCAGCAGAACUGAGAGGCAGGGCCAGGAGAUAGAUGAAAAUGAACAUUAAAAAGAAGAAAAGACUCAGCCCAACCAUCCCAGCACAGCACAGGUCCCUGCCCCAAGGCCCUGUCCCACCUGGGCCUCAGCCACCUGCUGCUUGGACCCCAGAACCAAGGCAGCCGUCAGCCCUCUGCCUCUCAGCCUGGAAGCCCUGAAAAUGCAGGUGCUCGGGCCCAGCCCAUACCUGGAGGUAUCACAGCAGCCAGGCACUGGGCUCAGGUGAGACUGUCACUCCCUGGAACCAGACAGAGCAGACAGCAGGUGCGCAUGCGUCUGGGGGGUCCCACCCCAAGUGUCUGGAGUUAGGGUCUUUCUCUGCCAUCACCCACAUUCCCUGGACAAUCCUGAAACGUGCUGCGUGUAUCUAGGGAGAGGGAAGGGGACUCGGGCUUCUGGAGUCGGGUGGGUGUCCACGAACUGCCCAGGAAGGGAAAGGUCGCGAGAAAGAAGGGAUACCCCCGAGUUCUCCGGGACUCGCAGACACACGCCACCUAACUACAGACCAAGCCAGCUCCGCGGGGACAAAAGACCCCAUGGGGCACGUCCGUGUAAAAUUUCAGAGCACCAGGAGGCGGGGGAGACAGAGCCACUUCCAGAGAGUCAGGAGUCAGAGUGACACCAAGGUCCCCGCUGGAGCCUGGAAGCCGGAGCAGGGCCUCAGCACCCGAAGAUGAUUCCAACACCUGCACAGUCAGGCGUGAGGGCAGCACCAACAUCGUGUGCAGCAGGUCAAGCCACCACCUGUGCUGCCAGCAUCCCAUGUGAGCGAGGUUCGAGUCCCAGCUGCUCCACUUCGGAGCCAGCUCCUUGCUGAUGCUCCAGGGAAGGCAGUGGAAGACGGCCAGGCGUGACCUAGCCCCCAUUGGCCUGUUGCAGCCACCUGGGGGUGAACCUGCAGGUAGAAGGUGUGUGUGUGUGUGUGUGUUUGCACGUGUCUCUUUCCCUAACUCUGCCUUUCAAAUAAUUAAAUAUUUUUUCUUAAAAAAAAAAAAAAAAAAACUGUGGGGCCGGCACUGUGGUGCAGAGGGUUAAAGCCCUGGCCUGAAGCACCGGCAUCCCAUAUGGGUGCCAGUUCGAGUCCCAGCUGCUCCACUUCCCAUCCAGCUCUCUGCUAUGGCCUGAGAAAGCAGUAGAAGAUGGCCCAAGUCCUUGGGCCCCUGCACCUGCGUGGGAGACCCGGAAGAAGCUCCUGGCUCCUGGCUUUGGAUUGGUGCAGCUCCAGCCGUUGAGGCCAUCUGGGGAGUGAACCAGCAGGUGGAAGACCUCUCUGUCUAUACCUCUUUCUGUAACUCUGUCUUUCAAAUAAAUAAAAUAAAUCUUUUUUAAAAAUGUGAA